GAAGGGAGAUGAUCUGUGUGAUGGAAUACUGGUAGGGGACUAGCAUGCUAUUUUAAAAUUUUUAUGUAGCAAAAAAUUUAGAUUAAACCUUUUAAUCUAUUAUGCAUGCUUUAGAUCACAUCUAAAUCCCUAUCCUAGGAUCUAUAAUAUAACAUAUAGCAUGCAUAAGAUUUGAAAAUAGAAAUCUGUAUGUAUGAUCACAUUGUACAUGCAUUUGUAGAUCUGAUCUACAUACAUAUGAAGUUCAGAACUUGAUACCUGAGCAUGGAUAGAAGGACUCCGCGUCUGAAUCAUAAGGACUCAAAGAUGCUCGCAACUGCACAGCGUGUCCAGCCUCUAUGGUUGGUCCACUCGAAGUCCUGCAUUGAUCGGUUCCUACAGGAGUGCUAACUCGUGAUGAAACUACC
rnacentral:lncRNA from 1 species